GCUGUUUUUUUUAUUAUUAUAUUAAACAGAACAAGAAUUAGACAAACAUUUAUAUUGAACAACCAGCUAUGCUUUGUGCAAAUCUUUAUAACGUUUCCGAACCAACUUCUUUUUUUAUUUCCAUCGUUGCAUUUGAAAAGGCGUCCCCAGGCCGUCUGCUGCUUUUCGCGAUAUGAAAUGUUGAAAUUAUGAAUUAAUGAACAACUUCAGCUUAGAAGAAUUCCUUUGCUGCAAAGACACUGUCUGCUGCAGCUGUAAUUCUGAGCCACUGAUGAUCUAAUUUGAAGAUGGGAGCUAAAGCAGGACAUUCAGAAAAAGCUGUUAGGAACCAUGACAGAGAUGCUAUCAUAUAAACGCAUGAUGCCUGCAGCAAGGUCAUGGACAAACCACUAAAUGUUGUUCCCUCCAGUGGAGAACACGCCAGGUAUCAACCACAAGAAACCUUUGCCUUCAAGCUCCAUGACUAUGAUAGUCCAUGAAUUGGUGAUGUUCACAUCUGACUGAAAAAGUACAUUUGAAAUCCAGAAUGGCCAUCUUCAGCUUAAACCAGUUCUUAUGCUGUAUAGAUAAACUUGAGGCUUGAACCCCCUUCUGUCUGGAACUACAAGAAAUGUUGGACUUAAGUUUCUAAAGUCUUCCCCCAUGUGGUUUUGAAUCAUGUGUAUGUGCUAUUUGUUUUUGGUGCAGUGACCUGUUAAUUUUGUUUUGAUAGGCCUGCUUUAAAAACCUUAAGUUGUUAUAGUUUACAGUGGUUUUUCAUGGGGAGACUGUUUGGAGGAAAUAUGUACUCCAGUACUGUAAAUGAGACUGCUUUGAAGUGGCUAUAACAUGGGUUGACAAAGCUUAUUUAGUUGGCAGUGAUAAAUUCCACUGUACAAUGUGAAGUCAUCCUUUAAUUUUAAACAUAUAAAUAUGUCUACCUGGCUGCUUUGAAGAUGCAUGCAUAUAGGCCUACUAUUAUAAAAGUAAGCUGCCACUGCCGCCUUUUUUUUUUUUUUUGAUAUGGCCAAAUAGUGGGUACGGAAAGUAUUCAGACCCCCUUCGAUUUUUCACUCU